UGCUGCCUGGCGCAGCUGAGCCCCAUCAUCUGUCCCUCAUCCAUCUUAAUCCUUUUAUUCAAUAGUGCUAAAGUGAAGUCCAUGGUUACGCCAAGGGAGGUGUGUAGGAAACCAUGCUAGUCUUGAUGUUUCUCUGUAUCGCCAUUCUCCUGGCUAGCAGAUUCAGAAAAGAACUGAGAGAGAAAGCAGGAGAUGACAAAGCAGCUCUACAAACGAGCUGCUCAGCAUCACUGGCUGUGCUCAGGAUCCUCUUCUUCCUUUAGAGGCAGAGCAGAAACAUGAGUGUCCAUCAGGAUCCCUGAAACAUGUUCAAGCAGCAGACACUCAAACAGGUCCGAAACACACCCAGGAUUAUGGAUCAAGGGAGGACAUUGCUGAAAUCUCAGAUGGCUGUUAGGAUACCAGUUCCAAUGGUAUAAAAAGAAUAAAGCUUACAGCUGGAAAUGUCUCUUAUCAUUUGAAGGCGUGAAAAAGGCCGUGCAAGAAAGUCCUCUCCAUGGAGAUUUGUGACUGUAAAUAUUUUGACUUUUGUGUAGUGUAAAGCUGAACUGGAAUGUUGUGCUGUGACCCUGUGAUCUCUGACCUGCCUUCUCCAGACACACCUGCAUGAGACAUCUCUAAGACACACGCAACAGCAGCUUUGCUCUGUCUAUCUUUCUCAGAGUCUUUUGUCCUGUGUGCCAUAUAAUUGUCAUCAUUCCCCUUAAGGCAAGGGUUUGCCAGGAAGCUAAACUAAACAUAUGUUUAAGCAUUCUGUCUUCCUGUAACACACACUGAGAAAAUCAGAGGAUUAUUUAGGGUCUGCCAUUUCUCUAAUCUUAUAUUAACACGUUAGAGGGCUGGAAGUGUCAGAAGAUGUGUCAGAAGAAGUAUAAUUGUUGAGUCUGAUAUGUGUUUAAUAUCGUUAGUGGAUGGCUCAUAAUUGUGAGACUCGGCAUGUGAUGCUCAUUUCAAAGUACAAAGAGUGUGUGUGGGUGUGAAACGCAUUACUCUGGCAGUCAGUGUGUCUGUGUCAGUAGCCUAUAGACACGUGUAUAGCUUAGUUUGUAGGUGUGUUUGCAUGAUUUAGUUCAAUGAUUAUAGGAAAGAAAAAAGUGCCGCUGCAGCUGUAUUAUUGGGUGACGAGGAAAUAAGAGGAUCGGCACCACAUUGUGAAUAGCUCUGGGUGUGGUUUGUCUCGAUUAAUCACUUAAAGCAUAACACAACAAUGGGCUGUGCUAUAUGCACACAGCUAAUUGACAUCUGCAGCAUGUCGAAUUCACAACCUGGACCGAGGGCCAUGGAAAUGUCUGGCUUUCCAGAAGUACCUCAGCAGGAAUAUCACAGGCUGUCUGGUUUACACUACACCUCUUCUUUCUCUGAUGCUGAAGACUGCUGUGAUGAAACCACAAGUUCAAGCUCUUCCUCAGAUUACCUUGGCAUGAACAAUUGACAAAAAAUGUUUGUUUGUUGUUAAUGCUCUUUUUUUUUUUAUUCAUUAUGACUUUAUUUAACUUACAUAAAGUGCACUAAAGGGCAUUAUUGUGUUUGGGCA